rnacentral:tRNA from 1 species
GUGUAGCUCAGUGGUAGAGCAUGAGCUUAGCAUGUGCAAGGCCCUGGGUUCAAUCCCCAGCAC